AAUAAUUUCAAACAUUAUAUGUCAUCCACCAACAGUGAAUUUGGUCUCUGAUAGUGUGAUGCUCUACUUCUGUUCGGAAACUUGAAUUUCAAUAUUUAGAUGAUGGUGAACUUGAAGGAGAUACUGAAUUUGAAUAUUACGUUAAGAGUGAAGGAAAAUGUGUUAUUUUGACAACAGAAGUUUGUGAAGAUCAGUUUGUGGCAAAUUUUGAAAAAGCCAUGGGCAAUUCAUAUUCCUUCUUCAUCUAUAAUUGAAGGAUUUAACUGCAAAUGUGCUUGCAGAAUAUAUUAUCAGCAAUUAUCUUGAGGAAGGAGAUUAAUUUGGUUUUUAGCGAUUUGUAUGUGCUUCAUUCCAGGAAUCUGCUGGACAUGUCCAGUACUGACACACAAAAUACUAGUGCUUGCUUUGUCAAAGCUGCUAAGGCUGAAGUUUUGGAUGAUUUUCAGGGGACCAUUGACACACUGGCUUGGGGAAAUGUCCCUCGUAUUGGGAUUGGUGGACAUUUUGAUAUAGUAUAUUCUAUGAAAGUAUUUUGUUUAGUUUUUUCUGUUGUAACUCGUCUGAGAAUUGCUUCCUAGUGGG